rnacentral:rRNA from 1 species
UACAGAGGUCUCAACCGUUGUUCGGAUUCAUUGGGCGUAAAGGGUGCGUAGGCGGUCGUGCAAGUCGGAUGUGAAAUCUUAGGGCUCAACCCUGAAACUGCAUUCGAUACUGCGUGGCUCGAGUACUGGAGAGGAGACUGGAAUUUACGGUGUAGCAGUGAAAUGCGUAGAUAUCGUAAGGAAGACCAGUGGCGAAGGCGAGUCUCUGGACAGUUACUGACGCUGAGGCACGAAGGCCAGGGGAGCAAACAGG